GACGAACGCUGGCGGCGUGCUUAACACAUGCAAGUCGAACGGAAAGGCCCUGCUUUUGUGGGGUGCUCGAGUGGCGAACGGGUGAGUAACACGUGAGUAACCUGCCCUUGACUUUGGGAUAACUUCAGGAAACUGGGGCUAAUACCGGAUAGGAGCUCCUGCUGCAUGGGGGGGGUUGGAAAGUUUCGGCGGUUGGGGAUGGACUCGCGGCUUAUCAGCUUGUUGGUGGGGUAGUGGCUUACCAAGGCUUUGACGGGUAGCCGGCCUGAGAGGGUGACCGGCCACAUUGGGACUGAGCUACGGCCCAGACUCCUACGGGAGGCAGCAGUGGGGAAUAUUGCCCAAUGGGCGGAAGCCUGAUGCAGCAACGCCGCGUGCGGGAUGACGGCCUUCGGGUUGUAAACCGCUUUCGCCUGUGACGAAGCGUGAGUGACGGUAAUGGGUAAAGAAGCACCGGCUAACUACGUG
rnacentral:rRNA from 1 species